rnacentral:misc_RNA from 1 species
UCCAGCUUAUCGCUGGCGGUCUCCUGCGAGUGCCCAACUAAAUGAUGGCAACACAGGACAAGGGUUGCGCUCGUUGCGGGACUUAACCCAACAUCUCACGACACGAGCUGACGACAGCCAUGCAGCACCUGUGCUCCUCCCACCCGAAGUGAAGACGCUCAUCUCUGAGCAUCAUAGAGGGCAUGUCAAGGCCUGGUAAGGUUCUUCGCGUUGCGACGAAUUAAACCACAUACUCCACCGCUUGUGCGGGUCCCCGUCAAUUCCUUUGAGUUUUAAUCUUGCGACCGUACUUCCCAGGCGGUGUGCUUAACGCGUUAGCUCCGUCACCGAGAGGUGAACCUCCCAGCGACAAACACACAUCGUUUACGGCGUGGACUAC